AGCGCAGACGGCGAAGCAAGUCUGAAGUGAAAUGCAUGGGCUCAACCCAUGAAUUGCUUUGGAAACUGUUUGGCUUGAGUGUCGGAGGGGUAAGCGGAAUUCCUAGUGUGGCGGUGAAAUGCGUAGAUAUUAGGAGGAACACCGGAGGCGAAGGCGGCUUACUGGACGACAACUGACGUUGAGGCUCGAAGGCGUGGGGAGCAAACA
rnacentral:rRNA from 1 species